AGAAUAGUUGCCCGGGGUGAUGGAACACUACUCAGCCAGAAAAAGGAACACAGUCCUGAUACAUGCUACCAUAUAGACGAGGACAGUCACGGUGCUGAGAGGCCAGACGACAUGGCCACGUAUUAUAGGAUCUGUUUUUCCACAAUGACCAGAAUAGGCAUAUCCAGAGACAGAAAACAGACGGUUGGUUGCUGGGGGCAAGCAAUGUCCACAAUACCAAACAGGGGAAGGAGCCUCGGCGUCCAUGGAAAGAUGAAUGGAUAAAGAAGCUGUGGUCUAUGUAUACAAUGGAGUAUUACUCAGCCAUUAGAAAUGACAAAUACCCACCAUUUGCUUCGAAGUGGAUGGAACUGGAGGGUAUUAUGCUGAGUGAAGCAGACGCUUAUCCCCAUGUUAAAGAUGGGGAGACUGAGGCAGAGAAGUAAAGAAAUUUCAGACUGCUGAGGAGGAUACCGACGGACUGGCGGCACGCAGGAUCCCCUGGAAACAAUGCUAGAAGACUCAGGUCUGGCUCUCGGGCCCUUGCAGACACUCCCGGAUAUUUGCCAACUUCCUCUUUUCAACAAGUCGACUGCAGGCCAGGAGCCCAGAGCCUGGGAGAGGCUGACCGCAGUUUAAUGCCCCGUAAAUGCCAGUUUCGGGCCUGUCCUCCUUCCUCCCCACCCGCCCCCAGGUGCCCACUGGGCUGGUAGGACCGGCUCGGCAGCAGGUGUCUGGGCACAGGCCACAGCGUGGGAAAGGGCUCUCCUGCCUGUGAGCCCAGGGCUCCGGGGCCUAAGCUCCAGGUCUGGUGAUGCUGCCGCAGCGACCAGCAGGGAGGGGUCCCCCACAGAGGCCCCAGGGGCACACCACUUGCAUACCUCCUCCCAGGGGUUGAGCCAGGGCGUUAAAGAUCCCAUCUCCCCGCCAACAGCAUCCCGAGGGCUUUCCCUAUGCCAGGCUGUGCUAAGGGCUCUGCAAACACUGCUGUGUUUAAUCAGCUCAUCAGCCCCCACACACCCAUAAUCCCCAUUUUACAGGCAAGAAAUGAGACCCGGGGAGGCAAAGUGAUGAAGCCACAGUCCCACAGCUAGGAGGGGAGUUUUGAAUUCAGCCCUAACCACCCCAUAUACUUCCUCUGGGUUGUAUGUUUUUACCUCAAAGAGAAAGAACUGAAAUUUGGUUGGGGAUCUGUCCCCCACCCCCAGGCCCUAGAGGCCCCAUCCGGGACCCAGAAAAGAAGGCAAGACAAGCACCCAGCCCCCGCAAGGGAAGGAAAGACUGAGAAACCACCAAGGAGGGGCUCUUCCGCAAGGCUCGUGGUGUGGGCUGGUUUCCGGCAGCUCGGAGGGCCAGCUCAACCGCAAAGCUCUCUCUGCAGGCUUGGGGCUGGCCUCAGCCUCCGCCAGGGCAGAGCACCCCUGGGAGCCGAGGACACAGCAAGGCCCCCAAGGUUCCCAGACAGGAACCCCAGGCCUUCCUUCUCACACUGGCCCAUCUGGCCCAUCACUGGUCUUUACUCUGGGGCCUGCCUGCCCGAUGCUCCUGGCCCCCCCACCCCUCCACUGCACACAGUUUGGCAGUUGAGAUCUCUCGCAUGGGGGCCACGAGAUAGUAUACACUGGGGAAACUGACCCCCACGGGGACUCACUUACCUGGAGUCUCCCCGACAACACCCAACUACUCAAAGUGUAGACCAGCAGGAUCAGCAUCAUUUGGAGUUUGUGAGAAACACAGAGCUGCUGCUCAUGCGCAAUCAGAACCCUCACUUUUAACAUGAUCCCCAGGGAACCUGUGUGAAGGUUAAUGCACAUUCCUAGAAACACUAGGAUUCCCUAAAUGCACCAGGCUGUCUAUCCCAUCCAUGUGCUUUUGCACAAGAGCUGAGCCGGUGUUAAACCUUCCCAGGAAAGAGUCUCUAUAAAAACUUUAUGUUCGGGGCAGCUGGGUGGCUCAAUAGGUGAAGCGUCUGCCUUCAGCUCAGGUCAUGAUCCUGGGGUCCUGGUAUCCAGCCCUCCGUCAGACUCCCUGCUCAGCGGGCAGCCUGCUUCUCCCCUCCCCCUCUGUCCCUGCCGCUCCCCACUUGUGCUCUCUCUCAAAUGAUAAAUAAAAAUCAUUAAAAAAAAAAAAUGAACGCUGCUCUACACUUUGGUGGUGCCCAGCAAUGAACACGGCUCCCUUUCUCUCUGCCUUGUAUGUCCGUGGUUCCAUUUACUCACUCCACAUUCAACGGUCUGAUGGAUCUAAAAAUAUUUUUGUAAUGUGGCUCUAUCUAAUCAGACCUCCCGCUGGCCUGCAUCACUCUGUCUGAAGUAUUCCACAGUGUCUAUUUCUGGGGGUGCUGAGCCCGUCGCACGCAGCGCUCUCAAGAAGUAAAGUAUGCUGUUUAAGACGUUCACCGGUGAAGUGGCCCCACUAAAGAAAGAAAAAGUGCCAGAAGCAAUUACUGUACUUCUCUCAUGAUCUAAAAUUCAUAUCUAUUCAUGGGUUUACUUAGGGAGGGAGCUUCCCGGCCAGAACAGAAGCUCUUGAGGACUGGAGACAAGUCUGCACAGCAUAGGGACUCAGUGUGUAGGAUGAUUGUUUUCUCUUCAAGCAUUUCUCCAAGAAGACUCUGAGCUCCGUGCUUUGUGGUCAGAGUGGACUCAGGUUUUGGGGUCCUGAAACAUAUAAUUUAGAGGAGCCCUUUAACAAAAAGAAUGCAGCAUUAGGAUUUAAAAAAAAUCAGGGGCACCUGGGUGGCUCAGUGGGUUCUGAGACUCUUGAGCUGCUGCCUUUGGCUCAGGUC